rnacentral:lncRNA from 1 species
UCGACCAAACAUAGACCAGACGCCAUUUUUUUUCUUUCCCCUGGAGGCUCUUGAUCUUACCAUCAUCUUCAUCAAGCAAAGGGGAGGAUACACCCAUUGUUUUGAGCAAAAACAAGAGGGGAUGCCAUUUUUUGGCCCUUCCUUUCUUCUAGUUCGCGACACACAUAUACCCACACACCCAAAAUCACAUAGCCGCAUAGAAACAGAGAGGUAGAGAGACGGAAAGGAUGAGAGAGACACCGAAAGAGAAGAAGUCGACUGUAUAUCGAGUUUUUCGACCACUCUUCACCAAAAAACACUUCCCUAGCUCCGAUUUAACUUUGAAAUCCAUCAAUAACUCGAUCUAAACUAUCUCCAUUGCUGAAAACCAAGGUCGAGUAGUUUAAACCAAUCUGAAAUCGUCCUGUUUUGGGUUGAUUCCGACCAUUUUGAGUUCGAUUUCGUCAUGUGCAAUGUCAAUUUUGGUCUGUUCGGUUUAAUUCUGGUAAGUUCGGUUUAGUUUCAGCUCGUCGGGGGUUUGUGUUGAAUACUCUCAAGUCGUUUUCAUGGAUUUUGGUAUUUGAAUCGGAAUGCAAAUUCGGGUUUUGUAUUGAAUUGGUUCGUCGUUGAGGUUCUCUAUUCGGGAUUCCAAGUCCGGGUUCUCUUAAACAUUAUUAUUAUCAACAAAUCUGUUCUUCGAAGGUCCAUCUCUUAACUCUACUCUUUUAUCUCGAAAUUGGUUAAUGUCAUAAUUUUAUGGUGUGGCUUUGAAUAUUUUGAGCAAAAUAUUAAUUGUUGGUGUGGAUGACUUGUAUGCCUAAGUUCGAAUCCUCGUUGGGUAUAUGUGGUUGAUGUUGGAUUAGAUAGUCGAAGAAUUAGUGAAUUAGUUUUGACAAAGAAAUUGGGGAAGACGGGAAUGCAAAGUUGAUAAAAAUGAAUAUUAUUGUGUUUUGAUUCAUCAAUUAUUGUUAAAUUUGAAAUGGUUAUUAAUGUCAUUGAACUCAAUAGUAUCAUGUGUUAAGUCGAGAAUUGGUAGGGAAAUCUUAGGUUUGGGUAGGCAAAUUUAGGAAUGGUGAAUCAUGGAAUGUUUGGAAUAUGUGCUGAAUGGUUUUCGUUAUCGCAUUUGGGUUUAAUUGUAUUAUUUGGCUGGGGAAUACCCCGAAGUAUUUGUAUUAUUUUAUCCGGGGAAUGCCCCGAAGUAUUUUGUAUUUGAAAAAUGUUCAUGGUGAAGGCCCGAGGCAUCGGGUAAAGCACGGUAGCGUAGUUCGAAUUAGAUUAGCGUAGGUUUAUAUUUUUGCAUUUUUUAUACUUCGGACUGUAUAAUUGGACUAGACAUUACAUUUUGAAUUGUUUUGUUUUGUUUUUUGUUUGAUUGUUUUGCGUGCUUUUGUGUGGUUUAUACAUUUCAUAGUGUCAAAAUAGUCGAUACACUCUACCAAGCGACCGUGGUUGAACCACGGGAUCGAGGGGUGCCUAACACCUUUCCCUCGAUCAACAGAAUUCCUUAGCCGGAAUCUCUGUUCGCAAAUCAGUUUAAGGAGUUAAAUCGUUUUGAAAAGGAUUUUCCUAAGGUGACUUGGAACACCUUAUUACGCCAAGUGGCGACUCUGAGUUUUGAAUAUAAAUAAUCCAUUUUUUUUCGAAACAAAUUUUCUAUCUUUUGUCACUUUGAUAAUUAAAAACCCUUUCAAACUUAAAACGAAUCUUUUGGAGUACGAAAAAAAGGGGUGUGACAGCUGUGGCGACUCUGCUGGGGAUUUUUCAGAAUUCGAGCUUAUUUUGGAGUCGUAUCGGCUUUGUUUGACACUAUAGGUGUAUAAACAUUUUGUUUGUGUUGUUUUGUAUAUUGUUUUAUGAUUGUGGAAUAUUUUCGUGCUCUUUGUACAGUAUUUAUCCUAUGUGUUACCGCUUUUAUAUCUGGCAUCAUGUGUCUACCCCAGGCCUUCUUUCUGCAAUAAUUCCGUAGUACACGUGUUGUACACGAUCUCUAGUUGAGUCCCCCUUAUUUUAGGGGGGGAGCCGUCGGUGUUAUGGAGUAGGUGGAAAGCAAAGCAGCCACUAUCGACCAUACGUUCCCCCGACAGCCUUGUUAGUGAACCAUAACGUAGGUCAGCCUUUAGGUCAUGCUUAUGUGCAUCAUAUUAAAGACCUAGCAGGGCCCUCUUGGCCCUUUGUAGGAGACUCACCUUUAAGGCAUCCUUACGUGCUAAAUGUUGCAUCUUUGAGGGUAACGAGAUUAUUUGACUGACUGGUUUGAGCAACAACAUGAGUUAGAAGCAAAGUGUGUAGGCAAGAAAUUGUUGAAAAAAAAAAGAAGAAAAAAAGAGUAAAAAAAAAAAGAUUUGGUAGUUUUUAGGGUUCUUUAUGGCUUUUGUUUUUUACAAUUUAAAAAUUAAAAAAAAAAUUACUUUUUGCACUCAUUUCUCAAAAAAUCAAAAACGUUAAAAAAUUUUCCUUUCGUUUUCUUUAGUAAGCAUUCAUAAUUCGAAAACUCCAAAAAUAUUUUUUCCUUUCAAUAGGAGCUUUGUACAUUCUUAUAUAGUGAAAAUGCCAAAAAGAUUUUCCUUCGUAAUUGUUGGUGUCAGUUUUAGUUGAAGUGUCUAAUUAAAAAUCCAAAAAAGAUUUUAUUUGUGUGUCUUUGGUUGUGUCUCUUAAGUUAGGGUCAAUCUAUUAGUUAAUCAUUAAUUGUCCAAUCUGGACGAACUAUGCACCCCUGAUUCUCCUCUUUCGGGAGUGAGAUACGUAGGCAGCCUAUUGUUGGUUCAGGGAUCUUAUUUAAAAAAUCAAAAAAUAUUUCUUCACUCUCCAUUUAGAGUAGGCGUUUCAUAUACGUCUUUAAAAGAAAACUACAAAAAGAUUUUCAUUUAAUAGGUUCAAGUUUCAUUUUCACAUGAAAUUCAAAAAUCGAAAACCCAAAAAUAUUUUUCUUUGGUAAUCACAGGUUUCAUUUUGUAUAGAGAUUUAAACCUAAAAAAAAAUGCAAAAAGAUUUUCGUCAAUUCUUUUGACACUUUGUUUCAAGAAAGAAAAAAGAGUUUAAUUGGCCAAUUUGACAAAACUUCACAAACUACGCACACCUGAUUCUCCCUUUUCGGGGGUGAGAUAUGUAGGCGCCUUUCUAAGGUUCGGUGAAUUUUUUUUCAAGAAAAAAAAAAAGAGGUUUUGAAAAAUCACUGAACUCUAACGCAUUUGCUAUCUCUUGUCCAGUUAGUUUAAGGUGGUUGGUUUGUGGCAUUUUGGCUGGUCCUCCAUAUUGCUCCAAGUCACAGAGGAAGUUAUGGCCAACAAGGAUACCGAGUUAGUGGUCACUAAUCAGAUAGGGAGUUCGGGGAAUGAGAAUGUAUGAGAUAAUGAAGAGAUUCGAAAAUUAAGGUGGCAAAUAACAGAAAUGCAUCGAGCUUGGGCUAAUGGGUUGCCGCCUUCUUCAGUUCUCACUGAUAAUCUGGAAUAUCUUUCUAGCUUGCCUCCCGUGUCACAUGCACAAUUUCCCAUUUUUGUUGAUAUGCCACAACAUGCAUUAGGAUCGACUCCAGGGCAACAAUAUCCAACCACUUCCAAUGUUCAUUUCCUCACUCCCCAAUCCAAGACUACCACAUACUCGGCUCCAGCUGUUGUUCAUGCUUUUAUGGCGCCACCCCCACCUGAAGCUCCUACUUUUGAUGUUCAUCCACAAGUUNNNN